rnacentral:rRNA from 1 species
UGCCAGCCGCCGCGGUAAUACGGAGGGUGCAAGCGUUAAUCGGAAUCACUGGGCGUAAAGCGCUCGUAGGCGGUUUACUGUGUUGGAUGUGAAAGUCCUGAGCUCAACUCAGGAAUGUCAUUCAAAACUGGUAAACUAGGGUCUGAUAGAGGAUAUAGGAAUUCCCCGUGUAGCGGUGAAAUGCAUAGAGAUGGGGAGGAACACCAGAUGCGAAGGCGAAUAUCUGGAUCAAGACUGACGCUGAGGUAGCAAAAGCGUGGGAAGCAAACAGGAUUAGAUA